CCUACGGGGGGCAGCAGUGGGGAAUAUUGGACAAUGGGGGCAACCCUGAUCCAGCCAUGCCGCGUGUGUGAAGAAGGCCCUCGGGUUGUAAAGCACUUUCAGUGGGGAAGAACGCCUGGUGGUUAAUACCCAUCAGGAAAGACAUCACUCACAGAAGAAGCACCGGCUAACUCCGUGCCAGCAGCCGCGGUAAUACGGAGGGUGCGAGCGUUAAUCGGAAUUACUGGGCGUAAAGCGCGCGUAGGUGGCUUGAUAAGCCGGUUGUGAAAGCCCCGGGCUCAACCUGGGAACGGCAUCCGGAACUGUCAAGCUAGAGUGCAGGAGAGGAAGGUAGAAUUCCCGGUGUAGCGGUGAAAUGCGUAGAGAUCGGGAGGAAUACCCGUGGCGAAGGCGGCCUUCUGGACUGACACUGACACUGAGGUGCGAAAGCGUGGGUAGCAAACAGGAUUAGAUACCCCAGUAGUC
rnacentral:rRNA from 1 species